GUUGUUUCUGUAGACCUGGACGGUGUUUUUUCUGCUUAAUUUCUCACGGAAAUGUUACUCCACCUUGUCUCCGUAGUAGAGCCAUAAGUGAAUGGAUGGAGCAUGUUUUCGAGAAACCCGUAGAACCCGUCGGAGAUGGCCUGGUGUUAUGGCAAUCUGGAAGAAGGACGUUCACAUUGAGGAAGAACGUCAUGUUCGAGCCAACGAUCGGGACUACAACGAGAGAUUCAGUUAUGCUG